UACGUAGGGACCAAGCGUUGUUCGGAUUUACUGGGCGUAAAGGGCGCGUAGGCGGCGUGACAAGUCACUUGUGAAAUCUCUGAGCUUAACUCAGAACGGCCAAGUGAAACUGUUGUGCUAGAGUGCGGAAGGGGCAAUCGGAAUUCUUGGUGUAGCGGUGAAAUGCGUAGAUAUCGAGAGGAACACCUGAGGUGAAGGCGGGUUGCUGGGCCGACACUGACGCUGAUGCGCGAAAGCCAGGGGAGCAAACGGG
rnacentral:rRNA from 1 species